UUAUGUGAAUAAAUAAACAUAUUCCUUUUACAUUAACUCCCUAUUAUGCUCAUAAGUUAUAUGAAACUUCCCCAGGAGCACUGUUAAAGUAUUUUGGAGGAGGCACUGACUCAGCCCAGGGGCAGUCCACCUCCUCAGGCUCAGCCAAGGAUAAUGAAUCAAGUCCAUCUCCAUCCUCCACUCCAUCCACUGUGCCCACUGUCUCCUCUAUUUCUGCUGCAACCUCAGCUGUACCUGGUCCAUCUCCAGCCUUUGCUCCAUCCACUGUGCCCACUGUCCCCUCUGUGUUGCAGUUUAUUUAAAACAAAAAAAUAAUAAAGCAGAUUGUGUUUACA